UACGAAGGGGGCUAGCGUUGUUCGGAAUAACUGGGCGUAAAGCGCAUGUAGGCGGAUCUUUAAGUCAGAGGUGAAAUCCCAGGGCUCAACCCCGGCAUUGCCUUUGAUACUGGAGAUCUGGAGUCUGGGAGAGGUGAGUGGAAUUCCGAGUGUAGAGGUGAAAUUCGUAGAUAUUCGGAGGAACACCAGUGGCGAAGGCGGCUCACUGGCCCGAGACUGACGCUGAGAUGCGAAAGCGUGUUGAGCAAACAUG
rnacentral:rRNA from 1 species